UACGAAGGGGGCUAGCGUUGCUCGGAAUGACUGGGCGUAAAGGGCGCGUAGGCGGAUGGCACAGUCAGAUGUGAAAUUCCUGGGCUUAACCUGGGGGCUGCAUUUGAUACGUGUUGUCUUGAGUGAGGAAGAGGGUCGUGGAAUUCCCAGUGUAGAGGUGAAAUUCGUAGAUAUUGGGAAGAACACCGGUGGCGAAGGCGGCGACCUGGUCCUUAACUGACGCUGAGGCGCGAAAGCGUGGGGAGCAAACAGG
rnacentral:rRNA from 1 species